GCAUGCGAUCAUACAGCACUAAUGCACCGGAUCCAUCAGAACUCGAAUUAGCGUGCUUGGGCGAGCAGCAGUACUAGGAUGGGUGACCCCCUGGAUAGUCCUCGUGUUGCAUCCC
rnacentral:rRNA from 1 species